AGAACGAACGCUGGCGGCAUGCCUAACACAUGCAAGUCGAACGCUUUUGGGGCUUCGGUCCCAAAGGAGUGGCGCACGGGUGAGUAGCGCGUGGGAACCUGCCCUGUUGUGGGGGAUAACCGAGGGAAACUUCGGCUAAUACCGGAUACGCCCUUACGGGGAAAGAUUUAUUGCCGAAGGAACGGCCCGCGUCCGAUUAGCUUGUUGGUGAGGUAACGGCUCACCAAGGCGACGAUCGGUAGCUGGUCUGAGAGGAUGACCAGCCUCACUGGGACUGAGACACGGCCCAGACUCCUACGGGAGGCAGCAGUGGGGAAUAUUGGACAAUGGGCGCAAGCCUGAUCCAGCCAUGCCGCGUGGAUGAUGAAGGCCUAGGGUUGUAAAGUCCUUUUAACGGGAAGAUAAUGACGGUACCCGUAGAAUAACGCCCGGCUAACUUCGUGCCAGCAGCCGC
rnacentral:rRNA from 1 species